AGAGUUUGAUCCUGGCUCAGAACGAACGCUGGCGGCAGGCCUAACACAUGCAAGUCGAGCGCCCCGCAAGGGGAGCGGCAGACGGGUGAGUAACGCGUGGGAAUCUACCUAGUGGUACGGAAUAGCCCAGGGAAACUUGGAGUAAUACCGUAUAAGCCCGAAAGGGGAAAGAUUUAUCGCCAUUAGAUGAGCCCGCGUUGGAUUAGCUAGUUGGUGGGGUAACGGCCCACCAAGGCGACGAUCCAUAGCUGGUCUGAGAGGAUGAUCAGCCACACUGGGACUGAGACACGGCCCAGACUCCUACGGGGGGCAGCAGUGGGGAAUAUUGGACAAUGGGCGCAAGCCUGAUCCAGCCAUGCCGCGUGAGUGACGAAGGUCUUCGGAUUGUAAAGCUCUUUUGGCGGGGACGAUAAUGACGGUACCCGCAGAAUAAGCCCCGGCUAACUUCGUGCCAGCAGCCGCGGUAAUACGAAGGGGGCUAGCGUUGUUCGGAAUUACUGGGCGUAAAGCGCACGUAGGCGGACUCUUAAGUCAGGGGUGAAAUCCCGGGGCUCAACCUCGGAACUGCCUUUGAUACUGUGAGUCUCGAGACCGGAAGAGGUGAGUGGAAUUCCUAGUGUAGAGGUGAAAUUCGUAGAUAUUAGGAAGAACACCAGUGGCGAAGGCGGCUCACUGGUCCGGUUCUGACGCUGAGGUGCGAAAGCGUGGGGGAGCAAACAGGAUUAGAUACCCUGGUAGUCCACGCCGUAAACGAUGGAUGCUAGCCGUCGGCCAGCUUGCUGGUCGGUGGCGCAGCUAAC
rnacentral:rRNA from 1 species